UGAUGUGGGAGUCGAAUCACUGUCCUCUCAACCCCUCUAUACCACCUGCGGUGGCAGUCGGGCAGGGGUGCGCUGACACAAGUCACUUCUCCCCUCUUACCCAGAUCUGCUCAGCCAGGAGCUUCCGUCCACCGUGUGCCCAGAGAUACUCAGCUCCAGGUGUCCCUCGCAUCGCCCUGGGGAACGGCUCAUCCCGGGAGACUGGGCAGAAGGAAUUCGGAAUGUGGACUGACCCCGAGGGGCUGCCCCUGAAGAAGAGGCCUGUGGGCGUCCAGAUCUGUCUGUGCCUGGAGGGUGAGAUGCCAAGAAAUGAAAAUUGAAGAAGUGUCUUGUACAGCUGAAUACGGGAUGGGAUAAGAUGGUGGGAGCCUCAGAGGUGCCAGCGGAGAGGCAGCGGACGACUCUUCAGGAGGCUGGCACGGGGCCCAAGCAAUCUGUUCCCAACUUCCUCCUGCGUGGGUGGCGGCGACACGUCCCCAGCCGGCCCCCGCGCCUCUCACCAGCCGUCAACACGCCCUCACUCUCUCCUUGUGUGUGUUGUCAAAUCUUCCCAAUAUAGCAGCCCGGAGUCUGUCAA